rnacentral:misc_RNA from 1 species
GAUAAGAACGUAGCGAAAUGCGAUAAGUAAUGUGAAUUGCAGAAUUCAGUGAAUCAUCGAAUCUUUGAACGCACAUUGCGCCCGCCAGUAUUCUGGCGGGCAUGCCUGUUCGAGCGUCAUUUCAACCAUCAAGCCCCAGGCUUGUGUUGGAGCCCUGCGGCUGCCGCAGCCUCCCAAAACCAGUGGCGGGCUCGCUAUCACACCGAGUGCAGUAGUUUACUCUUCGCUCAGGGCGUGUGGCGGGUGCUAGCCGUAAAACCCCCAACUUCUCAAGGUUGACCUCGGAUCAGGUAGGAAUACCCGCUGAACUUAAGCAUAUCAAUAAGCGGAGGA